GGGCUCGCUAAAGUGCAGGUUCCUGGUGUCUGUGUUGGGGUGCAGGUGGGGGCCGAGUCUGACCUGGGUGCGGGUCCCUCGGCAUGGCAGCUUUCCGAGAGGGCCAGAUCUGAGGGAAUCCGGCUGCCUCCUAUCCAGAUCACCUCCAUGUACCUCUGGGCCCUUUAACAUGUCCUGGUGCCCGCUGCUUCCCCAUGUGCGCUUGUCUGGUGUCCUAAAGAUGUGGGGUGGGUUGGCCUGGGUGGGCCAUCUGGACCUGUGACUACGGCAGCCGCGCCUCGUGGUGGUCUCAAGGCUGCAUCAUCUCCACCAAUGCCCGUACUCGCAGGGAUGGUCCUCUCCACCCUGGUUACCCAAGGCCCCCUGACCAUGAAGGGAUAGAUCUGUGUCCUUUGGCAGCUGGGUCAGGAUGAGCUGGGGUUGUGCUGGAGGGUCCCGGAGCAUCCAGAGAAAUGCGCCUCACUCUCUCAGUCUCUCCAGAGUCCCCAUCCUUGCCCACAGCCAGGCUUGGCACCUCGGUGCCUGUGUGCAGAUCGAUGGGACUGAAGCCAAAUGUGCCGUCAAAGGGAUCCGGGUGCCAGUGCCAAGGAGCCAGCUGCCGAGGGCACGGGUGGGGUGGGCUCCAGAGGGGAGGGGCAUGUGGCUAAGCUUUCCUAGCGGCUCCAAGGACAAAACCCACUCCCUCCUUAGUGGCACAGGCUGGUCAGAGAGGGUAGGGCUGAGGACGGGAAUAUUCCAUCUGGUAAGGCAUGGGAGGUCCCAGGUGGCCAAUGAGGAUCAGGCAAAGAUAGGGGUGCUGCCCUUGUGCCCGGGUACCUUUCCUUAAGUGAGGUUCCAGGCAAACAUGGAAAUCAGCCUCCCUCCUUGCCCCUCUUCCCAUCUUUCCCUUCCACAAGAGAGGCUGGCACGGGCUCUGGGACUCGUGCCUCAGGCUGAAGGGAUAACAAGAGGGACAGUUGGGCCGCAUUGGUACUUGGGCCACUCUGUUCCAGUGUCAUGCUCUAGGAAGUCACUCUAAUCUCAGGAAGGUGUCAUUUGAGGAGGCCUGGGCGCUCAGGUAGGCAGAGACAUUAGCUUUGGUGCAGGCUCUGUGGUGCCCAGCUUCCUCCAUCAGGCUGGUCCAGGCUUUGCGACUGUGGAGAGUGUAGUCUAGGGCCCAGGUGAGCAGAGGGGCCUCCGCAGAAGGAUCAGGGAGGGACCUGAAGAUCAAGAGACUGAGAAGCAUGGUUCAGAGACUGGGAGGCACCAGGUUCACUGUCUGGGGCAGGGCAUGGGGAAAAGGGAGAGAUUCCAGGGGAGGUUCAGAGCCCAGCAAAGGCUGAGCCAUAGAGGUCCCACAGGCAACCCAGUAGGAAAAGGCUACCAGACAUCAGCACUGCUUAGCCAAUCAGAGCUCUCUCCUUACAGCCUGGGGGAGGCACUGCCACCGCGGGCUACAGCCUUUAGAGAGAGGAUGGCUAAAGCCUUGUGAGGAGAGAGUUCCCUUUGAAAAUCCUGGGAGGAGCCAGGUCCUGGUACGCCUCUGCACAGGGCUGGGGAUGAACAGGCAUGCGCCCACUGGGCAUUUGGAAAAAAGAGGUGAGAGGAUAGACCUGCUGUGGUCACUGCUACAUACAGGGCCAAAGGGCUGGCUCUCAGCUAGAAGGAAACAAGGUGACCAGCUCAAGGGAAGGGCUCAAAGUGGGGAUCCCAGUCAGGCUUCCUGCUCCGAAGCACAGACUUAGCAUCAUCCACCAUCUCAGAGCCCGGGGUUCUCAGAAGCAAACUUUGGGACAUUAGUGCUGGCCCAGUCUGACCUGGAUCUGGGCUCAGCUGAUGACAAGGACCUGUCUAUAGUCACCAGGCCUGUUUGGUUGGCCAGGGUCUGGGUGGACCCUCUGGCUGUCUGGCUCUGCGGACCAGGUCAGUACAGUAGCAUGGGUGGGAGUCAGAAAGGGCUGGAAACGGCUGUGUGGACUCAGUUCUCCGUGCACACUUUGCCCUGGGGAGUCUGGGUUCACGCAGCUGGGCAAGUUGCCAUUGGUCUGAUGUUUCCCUGGCAAGGGAACAUGCUGGCCUGGUGCAGAGUCCCAGGAGUCUUCAGGUGGUCCUAGCUGUCCACUGUGACCCUGUGGCCCUUAGCACAGCUUCAGUCCACAACAUAAACAUACUUAUCAGGGAAGAGACCCUGCAUACACACUGGACCUUCCACUAGCUCCAGGCCAGUGUAAGUGGUAUACCUGUCUGUCUGUCACCUCUGCCUAUGGAGAGUAUUAGCUUGUCUCCAGGAUGGAACUCCCUGGAGGCCCUCCCAUUCAGAGCUGCUGUGUUCUGACCUGGAGGGGAGGUAUAGGGUGGUUGAUUACCCUAUCCUGGGCAGGUCUUUGCUGAUGUCGAUAGAGGUAGAACAGCAGGGUUAGGGGCCCUCUGGAUGGGGAAGAGCUAUGUACCCACCUGCCCUUUUGUCCUGGGCUCUACAGUGCCUGAGGAUCAGGAGGCAGGCAGGGAGGUUGGCAUCCCACCUGCCUCCCAGCUCUUUCCUCCCCCUCUGCCUCCCGAAUUUCACAGUGCCUGCUUUCUGUGCUGGCCCAGCUCCCUGGAGACUCCACCAGAUGUUCCUGGGCUGUGCGUUGCUCCCUAAUGAAAGAUUCAUGCAGCCGCUCUGCCUCUUGACACAAAAACCUUCUGCAGCUUCCCCACGACCAGGAGCUUGGCAGCUAGCUCCCCCAAUGUUGAGUGUGAGCCGGCACCUACCAGGAGCCUUCCAUGGGCUCUGGACCAGAUCCAGCCCUUGUCCAGAGAAAAGUCAGGGUCACCUGGGGCUUUAUCCUUCUCCCUGCCCCAGGACCGCUCUGACUCCAUUCUGGACUCCCAGGGUCCAGGGUCAGCAGCUAAGCAUAUCAACAUGGUCUUGGCUUUGAAGGGCAGGAGAGCUCAUUCUGCAUGGGACAAGCUACUCCAUGGGGGAUAGACACCCCCCAAGAACACCCCACUCUAUCCAGCAAGCCCAGGGAUAGUGGACUGCCCAUGUCCUCCAUUGUUCCACACUAACAUGUCAAGUCUAUGGCCCACCCAUAUUCCUCUUGCUGGGCAUGGCUGACCAGUCUGAUUCCUGACAUCCAUCCCCUGGCUCCUCUGAGAGAAAAUCUCCAGCUACAGAGCCUGUAGCUGGAGGCUGAGCUUGCUAAUGUGGAGCAACGGACCCGGCUGUGCCUUCUGUGUGUCACGCUCCCCUGCAGCCCUCAGAAGCCCUCAGGAAAGCCUAGCUACUGCAUUCAACAGAGAAUUGGCCCACCAGGUCUGGAAAUAUGGUGGACAGAAAACAGCUCGUGGCCACUGCCAGCCAUGUCUACAGGAGGCCACAGACUGGGGAUAGUUACUUCUUAAGGCUUCACAUGCAAACUAUUGGCACAGGUGGGCAAGGCACCCAUACCAGCCUUAGAUUGAGGCAGGUUCCUGUGGCCAGUUUGUGGCCCUCCUUUCAAAGUCAGUGGCCAGAGCAGGUGGCACAGUCUCUCAUCCCUCAGCCUUUGUGCGUGCUGCUCUGUCAGGACCUGGACCCAAUUCCCUCCUGACUGCAGAGUCUCAUCUUGCAGGGUUGGCCACAUAGGAACUCUGCCUAGUGGAACUCUUGGUUGUCAUUCCUCUGGUGGAUUGGGUUCUUCGUCUAUCCCAAGUCCUGGGUACAUCCAAAGGGCUCUGAGUCUGGCCUGCCUGGACCUCAUGCCCCAUUCACUCCUCCCAUUGGCCUUGGUCUCCACAUUCCUGAGCCCGACACUGGUACCUUUGCUAGGCUAAUAUAUAUAUGACACCUGAAUGCCACCCGGUUACUCCAACCUCACUAAUAGCACAAGACAGUUCACCAGGUACAUACAGGGCUCCUGCGUCUGUGGAGCAUCCUUUUCACAGGACUGUUCUCACCCGAGUGUCACUGUUGCUCUGCUGUUAGGAAGACUCUCAAGUGAGACAGGAGGUCCAGGAACCCCUUUACCACACAUCAUGCUGAGGGUCUGAACCCCCUUACCACACAUCAUGCUGAGGGUCUGAACCCCCUUACCACACGUCAUGCUGAGGGUCUGAACCCCCUUACCACACGUCAUGCUGAGGGUCUGAACCCCUUUACCACACAUCAUGCUGAGGGUCUGAACCCCUUUACCACACAUCAUGCUCAGGGUCUGAACCCCUUUACCACACAUCAUGCUCAGGGUCUGAACCCCUUUACCACACAUGCUGAGGGUCUGAACCCCUUUACCACACAUCAUGCUGAGGGUCUGAACCCCUUUACCACACAUCAUGCUGAGGGUCUGAACCCCUUUACCACACGUCAUGCUGAGGGUCUGAACCCCUUUACCACACGUCAUGCUGAGGGUCUGAACCCCCUUACCACACGUCAUGCUGAGGGUCUGAACCCCUUUACCAAGCAUCAUGCUGAGAGUCUGAACCCCUUUACCACACGUCAUGUUUAAGGUCCCACACAAAGUCAAGGUUCUGCCGGUCCUUGCUCCUGGACUAUUAAAUGAGGGUGGGGGCAGUGUGCCAAUGCUUCACUCACUCAUCCCAGAGGUGGAUGACUUGCUGAGCGUCUGUGAGCGGAGCCACGGAAGGGCUUCCAUGGCCCCAGGCCCCAGCCUCAUCACUAGUUCUCUCUGCUUAUGUUCCUUGAUGCCCUGCUCGUAGGAUGCUCUGAUCGUGGUUCUGGGUGGGACUGAGAGAGAGGUCCCAGGGAAGAGUUAGGUGCUGAGAGCAUGGCUGAGGAUCACUAGCCCUGGGUCAAGUGUGUGUAACAUGAUCCCGGUCACAAGGUCACAAACUCAGGAGAGAUCACUAGGCUCACCGCCUGCCCAAACCUCACCCUCCAGAAUGGCAGCUGGUGAUGACCAGGCACAUUCUGCCAUUGACAGUGACUUCUUAGGGUUUAGACAACCUUAUCCUUUCACCUCUUCCUUGGGGCCACCCUCAUGUAGGGCCAGGAGAUCCUUGGGGGUGCAGGAGUUUCCGGUUCAACCCCUUUCACAAGGCCCCAAGGGGCUUCUGUGUCAUAGCAAAGAGGACCUGCAGCCCCUGAGAGCAUGAUUCCUGGCUUUCAGAGUGUGGAUCUUAGCCCCAUGGUCCUUCUCCUGAUGAGCUGGGAGGUUGUCUGCCUGUCCUGUGGUGGGCAGGUACAAUGGAGUGCUGCCCUGAGACCCUCAGGAUACUGCUGAACUUGAGGGCCUGCAGUAUGUAUCAGAGGAGAAGUAAAGGGCCUGGGUGAGCAUUCUGCAAAGACUUCCACACCAUCCCAGAGGGACUGCCAGAUCCCUGGUCAGCAGAGAGGCAAAGCGAAACCUAAAUCUUUUACCAAGGGGUGACAAAUGUCACGAGUCACCACUGUGGGGGCUGUGGGACCCUGGGGCUCCUGUUCAUGAUUGACAGCCACAAUAGGCUGAAUGAUAACUCCUAUCUUCUUCCCGCCGGCCUGGGACCAAGGGGCCCUUUGCUCUACUCAGGCUCAGGGGCUACCACCAUGGGAGUAGCCCAGCAGGCUCACUGAGGCACCAGGCCAUCCACUUCUGUUUGGCCUUGGGUCAAAUCUUUGUGUCUGUCAGUUGCCUGACUUAGAUGACCGUCUCUGACCACAGCAAAGUAGAAACUCAGCAGGCUGUGGACCACAGAGCUAGGAGCUGUACUGGUGGAUCCCCUAGUUCAGUGUCUCCACAGUUAAGGAAGGAAAUAGCUCAGAGAGGCCACAGUGCUUCCCUGAGGCCAUAAAGCUGCCUGUGACCAGAGCCAGGAUUGAAGAGGCCAGGACCCUUACCUGGAGCCCUGGCCUCCUUUUGGGGACCAGCCACCAGGAACUGGAACAGCAACCUCUUUCCCCCAGGAACUCCUCAAAGGGACUCCCAGCCCUUCCAAAAUCACUGAGUCCAGGACUGAGGCCCUUCCCCCACACAGGCAGUAGGUUUGGAAAGAAUAAGUUGGAGUCAGGAAGGGUCUGGGCCAUGUCUUCCCUCCCUUCCCUGGCCCCCGCUGCCUCUCCCCACGCUGCCAGCGAGGUAAUAAGCUAUGCGUGUCGUGCAGAAAUGAAACAUGUUCCGCAGAACAAAUGGUGUUAAUUUGCAGCAAGCUCCACAGCCCAGCAUUACAGAGCGCCUGGAGGGGCGGCUGCAGCAGCUGCGCCAGAAUUAACAGCCUCGUGCAGCGAAUUAGUAGAGCCAUGCAUCACCAUUAGAGGGACAAAGCCCCCUGAACCCCAAGACCCCCACGGCUCUGUGCUCCAGGGAGGGAGCCGGUUCCCAGCGGUGAGAAAGGAAGUUGUGGGUCUCUUCCCUUCUGGAGGUUCUAACCCACAGGAGUCAGUGGCCCCACCUAGGCCACAUGUAGCUGGCCUUCCAGAAUCGGGGUCACUGCAUGGCCAGCUGUUGUCAAAAUACACCUGGGGCCUGUCCUGGUUGGGAGCCUGAGCUCUCGACGCCCACUGUAGAGGACUCACAGGAUAACACCUCCUCCUAUCCUUGCCUAUAGAUUGUGCUCCAGGCCUUCCUCUCACCCCUCCCCACCAGAGGCCUAAUUAAUCUGCCUGUCUAUUUACUUCUACUUAUUGCUCGAAUAUCGGGCUGCUUGGAGCUGCCGGUCUGUAUUGAUCGCUCUGAGAUGCACCAUCUCCCUGGCGAUUCGUCUUCCUCUGCGGCCCGCCAUCCAUCCCGCUGACGAGUGUCUGCCCUGGGUGUUAGGAGAAAGCUGCAAAUUGCACGUUACAUCUUAAUGGGCAAUUCCAGUAACUUCAUUGCAUCUGAUGAAUAUUUAACAUCACCCAUCCAUCCCCAUGUCGCUACCCAAAGGGGGGGGGGCGUUGGGGGAGUCUGGGACUUCUACUUGCUGUCUUCUGCCUUGUACCUUCUGAAUUUGGAAAUCUUGGCUAUUCUCCCGGGACAGGUGGGAAGAUGGCAGGUCGGGGAGGGAAGAGGGCAUGUUCAUUUGUUUGUGCUGUGCAGAGCUCAGGGUACUGUCUCUUGUUUUCCAGCACUGGUCUUGCUUCAGCUAUAGGUCCCUGCCUCCCUUCUCCUCUGUGAAUUAGAGGCUCAUUCUGGAAUGCGUGUCUUCUCUUGGGGACCCAAAGUAUGAUUCUGCUUUUGAGACUGGAGCUGAACACUAGAGGCUUCCCAUGAACACUUGUAGAGUGAUGGACCUAUGGGUAAAUGAGCCAACAAGAACCUGGACUCAGAAUCAUAGAACUUCAGGCAAGUGUCUAGAAAGUGUCUACCACUCUGGUAGGACACAUAAGGAAACUGAGGGCCACAGAGGGGAGAUUAUUUGCUCAGCCACAGCCCUAGGUCUGAGGCUGUGGCUUGUGGCAGUCCGCUGGCCACGCUGGCCUCCUCAGAGCCUAGUCCCACACAGCUCUUAGGUAGGGCCAUUGAGGGGAGGCCUAUAUUUCUCUCCAAUCAAGGUCUUGGGGUAGCUUGCAGGUUGUGAGGUCACAGCCUUCCUGCUGGAAAGGGUCCCUGUGCCAGGUUGUAUCCAUAAGAUUGCAGCUGGGUCUCACUCUCUCCCCAACCCAGCUGCUUCCGGCCUUCCACACGCACACUGACAGAGGUAAAGGCAUCUGUAAUUGCAAAAAAUCAUCCUUAGUUAUCUUGAUAACUAAGAAUACACACUGUUUCACGUCCCAUAGGCUGUGAGUUUGGCAUACCACUGACUCCGCUGCCUCCACGGUUAGGACACAUACUGCUUUGUCCCUCAUCCCUAAACUGGAAGGCAAGGUACUGACUGAUGAGAAGCCGCAAAGUUUUGAGCCUUUAACUUGGGAUGCUGGUGUCGGGGAGAUCUGGAUCAAGCUCAGCCUCGGCCUUCAGCUAUGCCAAUUUCUCUAUCUGUAGACCGAGACUUACACUUACUCUUAUUCAGUGUGUAUGUGUCAGGAUUCAAUGUAAGAACAUAAUUUAUACUUCUGGUACCAAGUCCGUGUUGUGAAGAUAACGGUGGUGAUAAUGGUAUGGUGUUGAUACUAAUGAUGGUAGUGAUAAUGAAGAUGGUGAUGAUGGUGUUGGUGAUGAUGGUGCUGGUGAUGGUGGUGAUAACGAUAGUAACUGAUGGUGAUGGUAACGGCAGUGAUGGUGGUGGUGCUGGCAUGGUAGUGAUGGUGAUGAUUGACCAUCGUAGUGGCCAUUAUGGUUGUGACAGGCUUGCAGUGUGAGUGGAUUUGGAUCGCUGAACGCUUCCAGGACCUCCCACACUGUUUGGCUCACACUUCAGACAGGAGCUUCCUCUUCCGCAGCUCUACAGCUUCCAGUUUGUCCAGCAGAUCGGAGCAGCCUCAUUAAUCCUCCCACCAGCCUCCUGACUGGCAGACCUCAAGCAUGUUGAGGUACAGGCCUGGGACCAUGGUUGCUGCUGAGAUUACAGGACAACACUGUUUUGUAGGGAUUUAGAGAGGAAGGGAAAGGUCACGCUCAGACUCUUGGAACAGCAAACAUCUAGGCUCCACGUGAACCAAAGGACUGUGGUGAAACCCAACCAGAAAAGCAGCCGGGAAGCACCAGGAGGAGACCACGCCCUGGUCUCACGUGGUCAGUCUUGUGGAGAUCAGCAGUCAGUUCAUUGAGAUGGAGCCCAAAGAGAGGCUGUGCCAAGACAGGGCUCCAUGUUCAGAAAACCAAGGCAGGAAGGGACAGCUAGCCUCUGUCCAGCAGAAACUGGGAGGCUGUGACUGACAGGCAAGGAGGGUAGGCUUCAUCAGUAGAUUAAGUAAUAAAGGGUUCCAGGUCUGGACCCACCUUCCGCUUUCAGAAUGGCCAGCUCCUGAGCCCAGCUCUCCCAGCCUUCCUACCCAUUGCCGGCACCAGGCAAUCUCUAUUUUGUUUCUGUUACUCAGACUCCCAUUUUUCUGAGAAGCUCCACUUCAGAUCAAUAUUUACCUACAGUGGCAAAACAACUCGUCUGGGUGGCGGAUGCUAUGACUGAGGCAUGUUGGAGUGACCUUCUGGCUCUAGCUGAAAGGGCUUAAGAGAUACUUCACCCUUCCCUCUACAGUUCUGGGCUCUGCCCACAGUGCUCACACAGCAUCCCUGCUGUGGUGCUGGCUGUGGGUACCAGCAGUGUGGAAGGCCUGCGGGGGAGGGGGGGGGGUUAGGUGGGGAAGGAUCUUGUUUGUCAGGGCAGGAAUAAAGGUGCUUAGCUGGUGGGGAAUUGGAGAGUAGAUGGCUAUUCAUGGUCUCUCCUCUCCCCCUAGAGCAACAGCGAAGAGCCGCCCCUGGCCUCUGAACCCACCACCAGACCAGGGGUGGCUGGCGGUCACUGCCUGGUUACAUCUGCUGUGCACGCGAGAGCACUUCCAGAUGUCCCAGAAGGACCCGCUCGAAUGUCAAUUCCAUCUUCUCACAAUCAUUUUCCGCAUCCUCUUAGCGCCGCAAGAACGCAGCCUGCUCGUUUGAAUGCAUAAUUAGCCCAAGCAUUCUACCUCGCUAAUUUCAAGGCAGGGGACGCCAGUGGAGGGGGCUUAGGAAUUUGCAUAUUAAUUUAGCCGAGGGAGAGAAAAAUUGUUUACCACUUUCCCGCAGUUGCUCACAGAGGACUUAACUCUUUGUACUCUCCAUCUGGAGCCUCCGGGAGGGAGUGCAUGGGGGUGCAGCUAACCCUCCCCCAAAGACCCUGCCUACCCAAUUCAGCCCACCUAGGAGCUACUGGACCACUCUGGGGUGCCCCUGUACACACUAUUGGGUUCAGCCAGCUGUCCCUGACUUUACGGGGCCACGUUUCUAGCCCCUUCAGUAUUAGACAGUGUGGGGACUCACAGAUGACCCCAAGCACUCCUCCUGGGCUGAUCUUCAGGAGCCAGGCGUCUGAGUCCUUUUGGCUACUCUAUUUGCUUGCUGGUUUGUUCCACAAUUGUUCACUGUGUCCCACGUCUAGGGUCAGUAUAGUGCUGGGUAUAUAAGAAGUGGCAGGUUAGCCAUGGCUGCCCUGCCUUCCUCACAGGCUAAUUACUGGCUGCGGUGGCCAAUGAUGUGAGAGAUGCUGCAAAUAGCUCCCAGCAUUCCCUGGAGUAAGCAUCCCCUGGAGAGUCCACUACCUGCAGGAAGUACCAUUUGCCUUGGCUCUUGCAGAAUGCGAUGCUUCUCCAGUUGAUGGAGCUGGUGUGAGGAAGGAGGCAAAGGGACACCGAGAUACAGGGGAAUGGGCCAGUGGUCCCCGCCAUAUUUAGGGGCUUGUGAUGUGUCAGGUCAGGGCUGAACGGUGGACUCAAGUGUGCAUCCUAAAAACAGUCAGACCUCCCUGAGCCUGCACGUUGCCUGGUGUAGUGAGUCGCAGUGGUUGCAGGAGACUCUGGUUCUCAUCAGGACUGUGUUUCCAUAGUGCAAAAAUGACAGUGUUUACUGUGCAUGAUGACUUCCCGGAGGACUAAGCUGUGGCAGCUCUAAGUACUAGAAAAGAGUUUCAUGUGGCUUGGUUCUUCGUAACAGAGGAGCUUUGCUGGAGGCAGGUUUAGGCCCAUCAGGAAGGGCCAGGCAGAGGGCUGUUAGGGUCCUGAGUACCCAUGGCAGGCAGAAGGCUAAGGUCUGAGAACAGAAAUCAAGACGCUGGGUAUCUGCAGUUCCGGGGAGCCAUAGUUGAAGUCUUUUGGCCACAUGGAAUGGAUGAACACCAAGAUGUCCUCCAGCUGAGACCCUCUCUAGACAAACGUGGACCAUGCAAGUUCCCACAGAGCCCACACGGCCUUGGCAUCGACGGCCACUUCAAGCAAGGAGCCAAGUCCCCUUUGCAGUAUCAGUGGCCUAGAGACCCAGAGGCAAGCUGCUCACCAUCUGUGGCUUUCCUGGGAUUUUUCUCACUGCCCUCAGUCUGCACAUUUGCAAAGUGGCCCGGGGUGAACCCAGAGGGCCUUGUACUGAGCCUGACUCUUGGCACACGCCCAGUGAGACCAGUGCCCAGAAGUACUGAUCCCGCGGUCAGUAGACAGGACUGUUGACUACAAGAACCUUAUCUGCAGAGUCAGGGUCUUGGCGACCAGACUGGAGGCCUAGCAAUUCAAGGGACAUGGCUGAGGUCCGAGAAACAAGGGUGAUAAGAACACUCUGGAACAGGACUGUGCCAGCUGUCUCAGAAGCCUAUUGUGGGCAGGACGGAACAGAGGCGGUAGAACCGAAGUGGAAAUGAGACCUAGAACCGGGAAACUGCCGGCCAUGAUGGAGGGGCUGUGAGUGAGGGGCUGCUGGGAACCACACACUGACGGGACCCUGCGGGAGCAGGUGCUGAAGACACACUUGGUCCCCAUAUGGGGAAUCAGAGCCCCUGACCCAGCUGGACUUCUGGACUCACAGACUUAGAGGGCUAGAGGCAGGGCUGAGCCUUUCUGUGGUUUAGCCAAGCUCAGCUAAGAUGUGUGCCUGUGACACCACAAGACGCGCCCAGAGUUCAGUCGCUCAUCCCAAGCCCCACAACCAUCAGCAGAACACUCUUCCGGUCCCUCAGGUGUGUGUUCAAAGGGGGAGGUUUUAUAGGAUGAGGAUUUGAUAGUGCUGCAAGACCCUAGGGACACAUCCCAAAGCUCAGAGGGCACAGAGGCAAACGCCUACUACCCAGGGAGGAAGGUACAACAGGGAACAGGUGUGAGGCUAGACCUCCAUCUGGGAGGUCACAAUUGUUAUUCUGUUUGACAGACAGAAGGGAUGGACACACCUCCCCCAAUCCGGUAUCCACCUUGCCUCUGCCCGGGGCCACAUCUCUUCUCCCCUGACUCCCUGGGGCCUCCUGCAGAGGAAAAGGCAAGGCCCAUGAACUAAAGUGUCAGGCUUUGUGUGGGACUGGAGAGCAGAGGCCCAGGGAUCCCAGGUGUGCAGCCAAUACAGGUUCCUGGGCCAGUGUGGAUCCAGAGUCCAGACCCCCUUCAUGGGCCUCUCUAACAAAGGGCUCACCCACCUAGGGUCUCAGAGCUCCAGGGGAGGCAAAAGAGCUCCAUACUUCAUAGCUAGCCAAGCCCAGCGGAGAGAAACUUGGUCCUGGCUCUCCUCUCUGGCUUCCUUCCCGCUGUGGGCUCCCUCCCUCCUGAAGAUCCCCUUCCUCGGCUUCCUUUCCUUCUGUGUCUCCUUCUGUCUCUGAACCUCGACUCUCCAGGUUUUAUAGUGGCACAAGCCCUUCUUUCUCCUGCUCCAGCAGGUGUUCACUGGAGACUUAGGAGAUGAAUGGCUGAUGGGUAGGAAGUUGGUCUUUGGGUAGGGGACAUGGCUGUGGCUAGGAGAGGGUCACAUUCACGUGAACUCUAAGGGCCAGGGCAAGAAGUCUGUAGCCAGGCUGCCCUUACUGCACAGGAGGGCAGGCACUGCCCGUAGCAGGGCGGGAGCCCUGGGGAAGCAGGAGCAGCUUGCUCGGGCCCCCUGCCGUUCCUGCUCAUCCAAGUGAGGCAGGCUGGCUUCCUUUGUGUGGAUGUGUGGGCGUUGUGGGCUGGGUCUGGAGGUAAUUUGUCUGCCUCCUGCAGCUGGCUGUCAUCUCACAUCUGUGAAGCAGCUUCAUUUCACUGUCAUUAAAAAUCCCAGGUCUGACAGGUAGCAAAAAUCCAACGUGAAAACAACAUCCCAGGGACCAGCCUUGGCUCCGGUGGGAGGCUUGCUCCUGACCAGUCUACUCCCUCAGGGAGGCCAGAUGGGAGUUGGCCUUCUGCUCUGUCCUGGAGAGGGCUGGCUGGGUUGAACAGGUGUUCCCUGCUGCCCAAGACAGAAGAAGCAGAGAAUGAAGGAGCAGAGGGGGAGCUGUGGGAAGGCGGAGACCCAUCCCAGCCACUUGCUACCUGGGCUGUGCCACACAGCCAUCUGGAGGGGCCAAGUACCGCCCAUCCAUAGAUAAAGCAAGGAGGUCCCAGAGAUCCAGGCACACACACCCAGGCCCUACUACCUUGGUUUCAGCCUCUGCUGGAACCUCCUGGGAGGGGACCCUGCCAGGGGUCAGGCUGGCUGUUCCUGAUGGGUCCUUUUUCUGCUUACUUGACACCUCUGUUUUUCUGGGUAAGGGCAAGAGCCCCAUUGAGAAAGUCUGACAGGGUCAAGAGAAGUCCCAGUAUGUCCCUCUCUCUUUCCUGAUGUCCCUGAGCCCUUCAGGACAGGGUCUGGACUCCAGGAGCUGAGCCAGACUCCAGCCCAGCCCCACCUCUUGAAGCCCCUCCAGGAAGUGUAGCCGUGGCUGUCUUCUCUGAACCUCCAGAGAAAGAGUAGUGAGUGCAUGAGAUGCAUCCAGUCGUGGCACGAUACUGGACUUCAACCUCAAGAAGGAGAGCAGCCUGCAGGGAGACCACCACUCACAGCUCUGCCGUGGGCUGCUGGAAAGCACUUGGAUCCUGGCGAAAUGGUAGUUGCUUCAACCCUUCCUCUUACAGGAGACCAAGCCCCACAGGAGAUACCAGGCCCCACCAUAGAUCUGACACCUUACCUAUCCACCAGGAGGCAGGCUCCGAGUAGCCUGCACAAUGGUACUGAGCCUGUCCUGGGUCACUGUAGACCUGUGUGCACUUGUCCCCAGCAGAACCCAGGGCUUGGUUUCGAGGCCUCAUCAAUUAAGUCUGUGAGCGGGACCUGGAUUGGGUGGAGCCUGCAGUCGUACCCCAGGUCCAGUGCACAGGUAGUGUUACCGUCUGGAGAUGUCCUAGGACUCUAAGCAUUGCUGAUUCCUCCUGCUGGGGAGUCGGGAAGGCCUCCCGCGGCCUGGAGCCCCUCCUGGAGCGGAGGAGCCCAGCACGGGGAGGGUUAAGCGCUGAUGAUAGCUUUGCCUCUGCAUCAGUGUACAUAAUGUGCUGUGCAUUUGCAUACUGCAGUGUGCGCUCAAUUAAAAUGAACUUUUAAUUUCUUCUAAGUAAAUUACUUCUUGCCGGUACGUGAUGUGCACAAAUGUCAGAAUAAUGGGAGAGCCUUAAUGAGCUGGGGAGUGGAUCUGGUGGGGGCUGCCUGGAACAACCCCUGAAACACACAUGUCUACAUGCCACACCGACACGGGGCACACACUGUCCCACGGGCAGGGCACAUGCCAACCUGUGACUGCUGGUUGUAUCUUUUCUAUCCUCACCGUAUACACCCUGGCUGGGUCAUUAUUAGUGUAGGACUUACACCGUCUCCCACUCAGCAGAGGUCUUCUCUCUGUGUGCUUCGGAUGCUUACACACCCACAUACAGAGGGUUCCCCGGAGGAACAUGUGGAUUCAUCCAGCCUCACUUUCCCUUCUACUCCUUAUUUUGGCUGGAAAUGACGAUAUAGGUUUAAAGGGCUCGAGGCAAUCGGAACUGAAGGCAGUGAGCAGGCUCCCUCCACCCUCGUGGGACCAGCGACUGAGGGCAGAUCUGAAGCUCUCAGAAGGGCCUGUGAUACUGCAUCUGGUCAGAGGGGGAGUGGAAAAUCGGACCAAGACACACAGCAAGUGCGGGGUGAAGACUGUCACCCCGAGGCCUGACCUCACCCAUUUGAUUUCAAGUAUCUUUCAGAGACGGUAAGGCGCAUUAUCUGUCUUCAACACAGCUGGCAUGGAUGGGUUCAGGAGCCCAGCAGAGUGCCCAGGCCCAGGCCUCUGGCGCAAGGUAUUAACCUCACUCAGUACUUGUUUCAGUACCUUGGAGAGGUCCAGAAACUGGCGGGGCCGUGGACCUCCCCCCAUAAUCGGUCCUGUUAACCAGGCCCUGCCCUUUUCCACAGAGGCAGCAGGACCAGAACACCACUGUGGUACCACAAGUCUAGGAUCAGCACUGGCUCCAACACCCACAGGUCUCAUGGCCCUGAACAUAAUCACGAGGGACCUCUUAGCCUCUUGUAUGUGUCUGGGCCUGAGGGUGCCCCAGGCCACAUUUAAAUCCCUGCUCCAGGAGCCAGCGAGAUGCCUUGGAGGGUAAAAGAUGCUUGGCGCCGAGUCCGACAAGCUGAGUUUGAUCCCGGGAUCCACAUGUUAGAAGAGGACUGACUCAUGCAAGUCCUCUCACCUCUACGUGUGCACAGUAGCAUGUACGUGCCCACAUGCACACACACACACACAGACACACAUACGUACACACACAAACACACACACACUCACACACACAGAUACACACAUACUCACACACACGCACGCACACACAGACACAGACACACACUCACACACACACUCACACACACACACAAACACACACAGAACAAGAAUAAAUAAGAUAUAUAACCCUCCAUUCCAAGUUGUGUUGGAGCUACUCCUGAGUGUCCCUGGGACCCUAGGCCACCUGCAGAACAUAAAUUGGUCUCACUGGGUCCGAGGCCACUGCCUGACAUCUGGCAGCGCCACCAGUGCAGCGGAGGUGACAGUGCCCGCCACUACUCUCCUUAGGUGUGCAACUGCUAUGAGCCAGACUUCUGACAGCCACAGCUGGGCCUCUCAUAUCUACCUCCCCAGGCCCCUGGGGUCUAGACUUGUCAACACAACCUUCUGUGCCAGUAACAACUGUGCCAGGAGGGGCUGAUCUGCAGACUGCGGCCUAUGUGGAGGAAGGUGGCGCCAGCCGCACAAACCUUGAUGAGAAGGCAUCACUGAACAAUGUGGCUGCGUGCAUCCUGCUCUGCAGAGGGAAGUCAGGGCAGGCUUCCUGGAGGAGGGAGGUAGCAAAUUGAUUAUGAAGGGCACACCAGGAUGGGUGACCCUGAGGGGACACAGGGUGAGGAGCACAGGCUUGACUGGGCUGGAGGAGCAUGUCUAGCUUGAGCCUGCCUCUGGGGCACUAGAAGAUGCAGUUACCAUGGAGAGUGGGGCCAGGGGAGCAUCAGUGAGAGGUGCAGGCCCCAUAGUCCACACGGCUGAAGAGACAACCAUGUGGGGGUAGUCCUCACAGCUAUGGCUGCUACAGGAAAGGAGCGGAUGGGAAAUGAUGGACGCUCUGGACAUGCAGAGUGAGGGAAGGGAUGUAGGAGAAGACUCGCCGUGGGACAGGAGGGGUGGGGACUGUGACUCAGGUCCAGCCCCAGGAGGACAGUGCAUAAGUGAGUUGAUACUGUCCCAGUCAAGGAAGGUGACCCUGGGCGGAGGCCAGCGUGGAGCAGAAACCUUCAGAGAAUCCUCCUGUGUGUGACCAGCCCAGGGGGACAGAUGGGGAGGCCAGCGACAGUCUUCACUGGAAAGGUAUAAUAAUUAAGCACCAGCAGGUCACAUGGUCACUGAAACAGAAGAAAGGAGCCAGUCCCAGCCUGGCAGGGUUGCCUGUGUGUGGUCUCUAUGAAGUAGUGAAUGGUGCCUCUGCAUGUCUACCUGCCCAGCAGUACUGAGCAGGCAGUGCUGGGCAGGAGGCUGGCUACGUGGAAUGUCCCUCUCUGCUGCACCCACCUCGGAUGGGCACACCCCUCUAGGACCUCUGACCAGCCAAGAUAUACAUGUUGGACCUCCCCCCUCCAAGGACUUACCAAUCCCCUCACCCUACUUUGGCCACAAGGCCCUGCCUCUUCCCCAGCCACCAGACCCCAGAAUGCUCUCUCCAUUCUGAUCUGCCCAUGAGUGACAGCUGGGGGAGCCGAGUCAAAGACAGGCCCAGCACACAGUGAGGACUAGGUUGGUGAGGCCCCAGCUCCAGCUUUAUGUGCAUCUGAGCAACUGUCACACUCCAGCUCUUGUGAGACCCAAGGACCCAUCCAGCUCCACUAGCCGCGCUCUUCCCACCAAGCGGGGGAGGGGACGCAUCUUCAGCAAUCCCAGUGCUGAACUGACAGGAUGAACCACUCUCGGAUCUCUCCCUUCCUAUUUUUCAUACCCAUCUUUCCCCUGAAGAGGCCUGACAGCUGCCACUCCCCUGGAGUUUGGGAUCUGCAUAUUCAGGUGUGUACACAUAGGCAUGUGUGCUCACGUAGGCGUGUGGGCAUGUCAGGUAUGUGUGCAUGCCCGUGUGCACGCAUGAGGUGACUAGAGAUCAGCUUUCCCCCCAUUGGUGAAAUUUACAUUGAACCACAAAUUAAUUUCAUAAUUUUUUCCUCUCUAAUUAUGCCAACAUCUGUCGCAAGGCAAGCUGUGCGUGUGCAUUUUAAUGUCCCUCCCCUGCCCGCCUGCUCACAGCAUCGCUGUCUGUCUCCGACUGAACUUUUCAAUAAUUAUCGCCAAGAGAAGAUCUCGACUUCCAUUUUUCUUGCUCCUCGAGAGGGGGAGAGAGAUGAUGGGGGAGGGGAAGAGAGAGCAGGGUGAGGGGGGCAGAGGGAAAGGGAAGGGAAGGAAGGGCCAAAGAGAGUCACGGCAGCUGGGUGGGCGCUGGGGACCUCUGUGUUCCUUCAGGAAGGCAGUGUGGCUGUGAGGAGGGCAUGAGGCAAGACAGGGGGAGAGCAGCUGGGAGCCACGUGUGUCAUGGCCAGAGACAUAGCUGCUUUCUCCAGGCCGGGAGGUGGAGGUGUAGCCCUUGGUCUCCUGGGAGCACUCCACACUCACAGAGUCGGUGAGGAAUCAUGGGUUUGCACCAUCCAGCUUGGGAACCCUGGUACCUCCUCUGCGUGGGGUCCUGCAUGGGUCCCUGAGACAGCCUCUGGUCCUGACAGGAGACUGAGUCUGGCACCUGUAUGUGGUACCCACACUUAAAAAGAAGGUGCUUCUGGGUGUGCUGAAAAAGAGUAUUGGCACCCCUUGCCAACCUUCCCACCAGCAGCUUCCUGCUGGCCCAAGGAAGAGGGUGACCCCAGAAGCACCGGAGACAAGGGAUGCUCCAGAAACAAUCCUCCAUCCUACCCUUUGACUGAGUGUACCCAUUCAGUGCCUGAAUGUGUGAGUGUGUGUAUGAGCAUGUUGUAUGUGUAAACUUGAGGGCUAUGCAUGUGUGUAUGCAUUUGUGCUCAGGCACACGUGUAAGCAUGAGUUAUUUGUGUGUUUAUGCACACGUGUGUGCCUUUGUAGACCUGCAUUUACUAACUUCUGCUUAGCCCUGCCCAGCAAAUGGACCCCAGAGAGAUUGCAUGCAUCAGGGCCCUUGUUUGCUGUCAAGCCUGAAAUCUGGCUCUAUAUCUUGUGUGCAUCUUGUGAAGCUAGGCAGGUACUGGCCCUCUCCCAUGAGUUUCAGUCUCCUCGGCAUUUAACAAGAGUCAAACAUCCAGCAUCCACAGAGAGGUCACUUGCAUGCAGCAGCUGUUCCCUGUAACACGUGAAGGCAUGUGAUCUCAGCUCUGGUCCUUCUGUGGAGAUGGAGGCUAGCACUUCAGAAGUGGGUCUGCAUGCCCUGAACCUGUUACUUCCUCUCUUCUCAUUACUGGAAGAGUCCCCCAUUGGUACCCUUGCUGCUCAGGUCCUCCUUUCUACAGCCCAGCCACCAACAGUGGCCACAGUGGAACUUAGGAGCAUAAUGCUUAACUUGAAGCUGCCCGUCACUCCUCAAUGACCUCUGGAUCACAUCCACCAUCCCGUGACAGCACUCUGGGGCUGAUCCCUCAUCCUCAGUGCUUGUGAAGUGCACCUGAGGUCCACUCUCUGGAGUCCCCCAGCCCUUUCACAUGCCCUCCUUCCCAGCCCUCCUCCUGGGGACUCAUGGCUUUGCUUGGUGUCUCCUAGGAGGGGCUUCCAAGCUUGCUCCAGGUGGGCUGAGGCUGCCCAAGCCUGUGCCACACAGGCUUCCUGGUAGACAUCACCUGCCUGUUUCUCUGCUCCCCCUACCUUUAUUCCAGGCUCAUAGCUUUUCCAGGACAGAGCAUUUCAUCUCAACCCCAGAGCCUGAACCAUGGUUGAUGUUUAAGGACAUUCUGUUAAAUACUGAACAAAUUCCAAAGCAGAAACACAUUUGCCAGCUCCCCUGGAUCUAUUUCUGGGAUUGUGGUGUCCAAAGACCUCAUCUUUGCAUUCUAGACAUCUACUCUGCUCAGCAGAAAGCAAGCAGGGCUGAGGAAGAGCGGCCCCCACCCAAACCCAUGUCUGCAGACACUGUGUGCUGACACCAACAAGGUGCCAGGACGUUCAGAGCAGGACCCCGGUCCCGACAGAGGACAGUCACCUAUGGCAUAGACGACUUGCGGUUUCUACAACUGCUAUUUUGUUUCCUGACAUUUCUCAAACUUGCCUUGGAAGCAGAUGUAUACACGUUACAAAUAAAAUUUCCGGAAGAACCAGUCUUUGUCCACAAGGGGCCUUGACAUCUGCUGGCCUGUCUGAGCUUGGCAUUCUGAAGACCGUCCCAUUGGAGUGGCCCAGCUGUGGCUUCUUCCCUAGCCACCCCUGGAGUCGGCACCUGCAGAAGCCCCACCUUGCUUCUCCUCUCAGCCCGGUUCAGGCAGCCCCAUCCUCCAUGGCUACAGCCAUGCUAUGGCCAGCCUUCCCAAGCUCCAGUCCUGUAGCCUGGAGGCUGAGGAUGCUCCUGGGGCCACUGCUGCCAAGCACAGAGUUGAGAGCCAUGGGAUCCCCAGACACCAGCAUCUCUGCUCUAUGCACUCAGGGGCCCUGCAGCCAGCACCACCUUGGCUUACAGCCCCAACAGGACGCGGGAACAUUGAAGGGCAAUGUCUAUCAGCUUCUUCCAAGGCCAAUCCACGGCUCCCCUCUGCAAAGUCGCUGUGUGUGGGAUCCUUGGUCUCUGUUCAUAUGUCACUUGCUUGGACCGUGGGGACCACAAACAUGCCUGUGAGCUGGGUGGCUCCAGGGCCACACAUGUGGCAGUCCUCAGCAGACACACGUGGAAGGCUAAGUUGUGGCCUUCGGUAGCCUGAGUCCUCUCACCUUGGAGGGGGAAACUGGCUGCCUGCCCUGCACAGAGAAGGAUACAGACACUAGGCUCAGACCCAUCAUCCCUAGACUGUCGAUACCUUCCCUGGACUCAGUGGUGACAGUAUGCAUCUAAGGGCUGUCACAGAGGAAAAGGCAGAGGCUAGGAUUCCCAGCCCCGUUCCCACCUCUGGAAAUAGCGGGCGGCCCCAGCCCACCCCCUCCUCCGA